AAAGUACUCUCUCCGUUUCAAAUUACUUGUCACAGAAAUGGAUGUAUCUAAAACUAAAAUACAUCUAGAUACAUCCAUACCUGUGACAAGUAAUUCAGAACGGAGGGAGUACGUC
rnacentral:pre_miRNA from 1 species